rnacentral:rRNA from 1 species
AAGAAUUUAAAAGUCGAACAGACUUAAAAUUUAAGCUACUACACCUAAAAUUAUAUCUUAAUCCAACAUCGAGGUCGCAAUCUUUUUUAUCGAUAUGAACUCUCCAAAAAAAUUACG